UACGUAGGGAGGAAGCGUUGUCCCGAUUUACUGGGUGUAAAGGGUGCGUAGGCGGCUCUGCAAGUCAGGUGUGAAAACUAUGGGCUUAACCCAUAGACUGCAUUUGAAACUGUGGGGCUUGAGUGAAGUAGAGGCAGGCGGAAUUCACGGUGUAGCGGUGAAAUGCGUAGAGAUCGGGAGGAACACCAGUGGCGAAGGCGGCCUGCUGGGCUUUAACUGACGCUGAGGCACGAAAGCAUGGGUAGCAAACAGG
rnacentral:rRNA from 1 species